rnacentral:rRNA from 1 species
GACGGAGGGUGCAAGCGUUGUUCGGAAUUACUGGGCGUAAAGGGCUCGUAGGCGGUUUGUCGCGUCGGGAGUGAAAACUCAGGGCUCAACCCUGAGCGUGCUUCCGAUACGGGCAGACUAGAGGUAUGCAGGGGAGAACGGAAUUCCUGGUGUAGCGGUGGAAUGCGCAGAUAUCAGGAGGAACACCGGUGGCGAAGGCGGUUCUCUGGGCAUUACCUGACGCUGAGGAGCGAAAGCAUGGGGAGCGAACAGG